rnacentral:rRNA from 1 species
UACGAAGGGGGGCUAGCGUUGCUCGGAAUUACUGGGCGUAAAGGGCGCGUAGGCGGAUGUCUAAGUUGGGGGGUGAAAUCCCGGGGCUCAACCUCGGAAUUGCCUUCAAAACUGGAUAUCUUGAGUUCGGGAGAGGUGAGUGGAACUCCGAGUGUAGAGGUGAAAUUCGUAGAUAUUCGGAAGAACACCAGUGGCGAAGGCGACUCACUGGCCCGAUACUGACGCUGAGGCGCGAAAGCGUGGGGAGCAAACAGGG